rnacentral:rRNA from 1 species
AGAGUUUGAUCCUGGCUCAGGACGAACGCUGGCGGCGUGCCUAAUACAUGCAAGUCGAGCGAGCUUGCCUAGAUGAUUUUAGUGCUUGCACUAAAUGAAACUAGAUACAAGCGAGCGGCGGACGGGUGAGUAACACGUGGGUAACCUGCCCAAGAGACUGGGAUAGCACCUGGAAACAGAUGCUAAUACCGGAUAACAACACUAGACACAUGUCUAGAGUUUAAAGGAUGGUUCUGCUAUCACUCUUGGAUGGACCUGCGGUGCAUUAGCUAGUUGGUAAGGUAACGGCUUACCAAGGCAAUGAUGCAUAGCCGAGUUGAGAGACUGAUCGGCCACAUUGGGACUGAGACACGGCCCAAACUCCUACGGGAGGCAGCAGUAGGGAAUCUUCCACAAUGGACGCAAGUCUGAUGGAGCAACGCCGCGUGAGUGAAGAAGGGUUUCGGCUCGUAAAGCUCUGUUGGUAGUGAAGAAAGAUAGAGGUAGUAACUGGCCUUUAUUUGACGGUAAUUACCUAGAAAGUCACGGCUAACUACGUGCCAGCAGCCGCGGU